UUAACGACACUUUCGGUUCCGGAGGGAAGAGCGUCACGCGCGGGGCUUUUUACCUUUCAAAAUGGGAUGAAUCGCCGCUCCAGACCCCAGCGGGUCCCGCUUCUUACCGCCUCCGCCAGAGCCCGGCGGCGAGAACUCUUCAGCUUUACUGGGGGACAGAGACGCAGCACCGCUCCCGCUCAUUGUGCCCCGGCGGCCAGCUGAUAAAACCACGCAUGCGCCGCACUUGGGGAAGCGUACGGCGCAUGCGUGACGUGUAGGCUUUCGUUGGGCUGGUGCCCGCCUCGUGGGCGGAGUUCUCUGCGAUGCUACCAAUCAAAGCCUGGUCCGUGCAGCUUCGCGGGGUUGUGGGAAAAUCCUGAGGUCGGUGGUCUGAAAGAGCGGGGUUUGUUGGUAGGCUUGCCUGCCCCCUUACAAUGUUUUCAAGCCGUGUCGAGGAGCACCUUUAGACCAACACAUUUUUAUUCAGAAGAAUGUGCAAAAUCCUGACGUGAAGAGAGAAACCACUAUGACGACACAUGUACUGCUGUUGCGCAUGAUGGGGCACAUGAAGCAAGGACAGUCAAGCAAAUUUGAUCCAAGGCUCUUACAUGGGAAGAACUGUAGUAGCUGCUGGAGAACUGAGGUGGUUCUAUACUAAAAUGAACUGUCAAGGGAUGGAGAGCUCUUUGAGCAUCCGUCCCCUUAAAAACAGCCACAACACAGCUAGUAGUCUAUGUCUGGUCAAGUUUAACUGUUUUGGAAGCAAAAGAAAAAUUUCUCAAAAUGAAUAUUCUGACAUAUCAAUUUUUCAUAGCAAUUUCCAUUUCCCCCCAAGAAAAUAAACCCCAAAUUAAAAAAAAACCUUUAAAAUAAUUUAUCAAAUCAAUAUGAUUUUCUACCAAAA